rnacentral:rRNA from 1 species
GAUGAACGCUGGCGGCGUGCUUAACACAUGCAAGUCGAACGGAAAGUCCCAACCUUGCUUGGCUACUCGAGUGGCGAACGGGUGGUUACCACGUGGGUGAUCUGCCCUGCACUUCGGGCUACGCCUGGGAAACUGAGACUAAUACCCGAUAGGUCGUUGGGCUUAAUGCCAUUGCGGCGAGUUUUUACGGUGUGGGAUGAGCGCGCGUCCUAUCUGCAUGUUGGUGGGGUGAUGGGCUACCAAGGCGUCGACGGAUCGCCGGCCUGAGAGGGUGGACGGCGACAGUGGGACUGAGAUACGGCCCAGACUCCUACGGCAGGCAGGAGUGGGGAAUAGUGCACAAUGGGCGAAAGGCGGAUGCAGCGACGACGGGUGGGGGAUGAGGGACGUCGUGUUGCAAACUCCAUUCGCUAGGGAGGAAGCAUGUUUGUGACGGUACCUGGAGAAGAAGCACCGGCUAACUACGUG